AAUUUUGCUUAGGGAAAAUUGGGAGACACCCAACACAAAAGCAAAUUAUGGUAAUAAAAUCUUCAUUUUCUGUCAUCCUUUGCUGCUCUCUCUUGACAUCCGUCUUUUUCUUAUAUGAAAUAGGCUCUCGUAAACUUACGGUGCUUUCAGAUGGGAACGGACCGAGCAAAGCGGCUGUAAAAAGAAGCCGCUCAAAACGAGCAUCAUCUUGGGCUGGCUACAAUGUACCUCCACCCUCAACUCGCUCACUAACUCGAGAAUGCGGACGUGGUAAAUUACCUUGUCUUCCAAAUCCUAAUGGAAAACAACCAGAUCAAAGCGGAACUUAAAAAAGGAGCCCUUAAUAUAAAAACAAAUUUAUAAGAGGGACUCAAAUUAAAUUAUAAAUAUUUUGAGAAGCCAAAAAAAUGUUAUUUUACCGUUAUAAUUUUACUGUUUUUGAAAGGCCAAAAGUCCCAACCUACUCCAAGCGUCUGCCCCAUAUAAAGUAUUCCAAGCAGUUUUGGAAUAAAUUUACGAUAUACAAGGGUGCACUGUAUGCUAUCGAAUUUUUCUUCUUCUUCUGCUUCUUCAUAUUAAUAUUUUCUCUUUCAAGAA